AAGUACUUUGUUCACUGUUUGGAAUUGGACCGGUGGAUGGUUCAGCUGGACUCGUCAGUCGGAUAGCAUGCUACGUAACGUCGAGAAACAAAUACUAUCAUGUAUAAAAACAGCAUACAAAAGAUUUUAUGUGGAUAUCGGAUCAGUGGUCGGGCAAAGCGACAAAAUAUGGACUAUAUCGCUGAACGACGAAUCGAAUAAGACGCCGCUGGUGUUGCUGCAUGGCAUGGGUGCCGGCCUCGCUCUGUGGUGCCCAAACCUUGAUGCCUUCGCUGCCACGAGGCCUGUGUACGCCAUUGAUUUGCUAGGUUUCGGUCGAAGCUCGCGGCCGAAGUUUGCUUCAGACGCGACGAAAGUGGAAGCGCAAUGGGUGGAGUCGGUCGAAGAGUGGCGUCGCGAGGUCAACCUCAGCGAGUUCAUUUUACUCGGACAUAGUUUAGGAGGGUACAUAGCCACUGCUUAUGCUAUGAAGUAUCCUGAUCGUGUACGUCACCUAAUUCUAGCAGAUCCUUGGGGCUUUGUAGAAAAACCUCAAAACGUAUACGAAAAAUACAAUGUCCCUCUAUGGGUCAAGGCAGUCGCUGUAGCUGUACAACCGUUGAAUCCUCUGUGGGCAGUACGAGCCGCAGGGCCGGCCGGCAAAUGGCUCGUGGGCAAGACAAGACCUGACAUAUCGCGGAAAUAUUUGAAGUACAUUCCCGACGCAGAAACUAUUAUACCUGAAUAUAUAUACCAGUGUAACUCACAGACGCCCAGUGGUGAAAGUGCAUUCCACACGUUGAUGCAAAGCUUCGGGUGGGCCAAAAACCCCAUGGUCCACCGUUUGGACAAAUUGGAUCCCAACUUGCCGGUAACAGUGCUGUACGGUGCACGUUCCUGGGUCGACAACACCACGGGGCAAGUGCUCACUGAGCAACGCCGAUCCGAUAAGACUUAUGUACAGGUUACGAGUCGCAAAACUUCGGUAAUCAGGAAAAAUGGAAGUAUGAAGUGAGCAGCUGCCGUAUCUGCCUGUCAAGGGUAUUCGAACCGGCGACACUCGACUGCGGCCACCAAUUCUGCGAGCAUUGCCUUUGCCAAUACUGGAAAACUUACGAGAAACGCGACCACAUCGUGUGCCCUCUAUGCCGUACUGCGGUUUCAAAAGUCAACUUUAUCACUAACGAGAAGAACAGCUCGACUCAUGACUUUCGAAAAGUGUUUGACCAGCGGUAUAAUCCUUCUACUUCAGCUGAUUUUCGUAAAGCGUUCAACAUUUGCUUAAAAAUGAGCGCUGUAGCACCGGCUGUCUAUUUGUUGAUCAAAUACCUUAUGCCUGUCUUUAAGCCAUUCAUGUAGUUGCUAAAAAGUUUGGUUCAAAGAAAAGUAAUUGUUUCCAGUGCCAAAAAUGCAGUGAAUUUAUUGCAGUGUUAGACAAAUUGACUACAGUGUUAUUGACAAAAUUACAAAGUGUAAAAAGGUUUUAAUAUAGUAAAUAAAAAAUAUAUUUUUCUUUC